rnacentral:rRNA from 1 species
AUUACAAGCAAUUCUUAAAACCCAAAGGAUUUGACGUUGUCCCACCCACCUAGAGGAGCCUGUUCUAUAAUCGAUACCCCCUGCUUUACCUGAUCAUCCCUUGCCUAUCAGUCUGUAUACUUCCGUCGAAAGCUUACCAUGUGAACGUUUUCAGUAAGCUUAAUGAUUACCAUCAACACGUCAGGUCAAGGUGCAGCUCACGGAAUGGAGAGAAAUGGGCUACAAUUUCUAACCUAGAACAAGCGAAAGGCUACGUGAAACCCAUAGCUCCGAAGGCGGAUUUAGAUGCAAAAAGAAACUAGAGUGUUCUUUUUAACCCGGCUCUGGGACGCGUACACACCGCCCGUCACCCUCUUCGAUAGUAUUCUCCCUGUUCAUAACCCACUCUCACGCCAUAGAAGAGGCAAGUCGUAACAUGGUAA